UACGUAGGAGGCGAGCGUUGUCCGGAAUUACUGGGUGUAAAGAGCGCGUAGGCGGCACGGUACGACCGGUGUGAAAGCCCCGGCUCAACUGGGAGGUCACCGGUACGGCCGAGCUACGAGUGCAGGAGAGGGAAGUGGAACUCCGGGAGUAGCGGUGAAUGCGUAGAGACCGGAGGAACACCAGUGGCGAAGGCGGCUUCCUGGUCUGCAACUGACGCUGUGGCGCGAAAGCUAGGGGAGCAAACGGG
rnacentral:rRNA from 1 species